rnacentral:rRNA from 1 species
GCUAUCGAGUGUGAGAGAGGAGGGGUAGUACGGAGGGUGGGAGCGUUGGCCUGAGUUUUGGGGGGUGAAGUGCUCGUAGGCGGGUGGUCACGUUGGGAGGGAAAAGUCGGGGAUCAACCCCGAGCCUGCUUCCGAUACGGGCAGACUAGAGGUAUGCAGGGGAGAACGGAAUUCCUGGUGUAGCGGUGAAAUGCGCAGAUAUCAGGAGGAACACCGGUGGCGAAGGCGGUUCUCUGGGCAUUACCUGACGCUGAGGAGCGAAAGUGUGGGGAGCGAACAGGAUUAGAUACCCGAGUAGUC